UACGUAGGUCCCGAGCGUUGUCCGGAUUUAUUGGACGUAAAGCGAGCGCAGGUGGUUUAUUAAGUCUGGUGUAAAAGGCAGUGGCUCAACCAUUGUAUGCAUUGGAAACUGGUAGACUUGAGUGCAGGAGAGGAGAGUGGAAUUCCAUGUGUAGCGGUGAAAUGCGUAGAUAUAUGGAGGAACACCGGUGGCGAAAGCGGCUCUCUGGCCUGUAACUGACACUGAGGCUCGAAAGCGUGGGGAGUAAACAGG
rnacentral:rRNA from 1 species